UACGUAGGGUGCAAGCGUUGUCCGGAAUUAUUGGGCGUAAAGAGCUCGUAGGCGGUCUGUUGCGUCGGCUGUGAAAACCCGGGGCUCAACUCCGGGCCUGCAGCCGAUACGGGCAGACUAGAGUUCGGCAGGGGAGACUGGAAUUCCUGGUGUAGCGGUGAAAUGCGCAGAUAUCAGGAGGAACACCGGUGGCGAAGGUGGGUCUCUGGGCCGGUACUGACGCUGAGACGCGAAAGCGUGGGGAGCGAACAGG
rnacentral:rRNA from 1 species